AAACGAAUGCAGGACUGACGGGAUAAAGUGGAACAACCACGUGGACUGCAGGGAAUAAAGAAGCGCCGACCGUCUGGGCAAGAGUA
rnacentral:ncRNA from 2 species